UAUCAUUUGAUAUAUUUUUGCUUUUCUUUCUCAAAUACACAAAAAGAAGUGACAAAAAAAUACAGAAAAAGAAGAAAACAACCCUAAUCCUCCAACAAUGGGUAAACGGAAUUGAAUUCGUCAGAAUGGGUGAACCAAAUUCGUCUCAACAACCGUAAUCCUCCGAAUUCGUCCCCGUCGAAGAACAAUCCGCUGUGGAAGAAGAAAACCCUUCCAUCAACCCUAAUCCGUGAAGAACAACCUCAAUCACUCCGCCGUUAUUAUCCAUCGUUCUCGUGGUUACAAGGGAUGGAUCGGAUGAUGGUGGGUUCUAGCUAUUGCUAUUGCGUGACCUAAUUUGACUUUCUUAUUUGUUCGGAUUUCACGCUUUCAGUUUCGAUUUGUUCCGUAUUGCACGCUUUCAGGUUUCAGUUUGAUUCCUUUGCAUAUGUUAAAAGGCUAUAGUGGAAGCAGCUGAUACUGAAUUCAUCAUACUUGGCCAGCGAAUUUAUUAAAUUACUUGGCCUUAAGGACUUUAUCUUGAGGAGAUCAUUAAGUGGUAACAGAAACAAUCAGUUGCAUUGGCUACUCAGCACACUACAAGUAAAUUGUAGCAACUGGCAUGGUUGGUAAUGACCUUCUCAAUUUGAGCAUGAGAAAAUGAGUUCUGAGACUGUAGCUGGCAUAUUUGGUUAAGGGAGUUCAAAGAAGCUACCAAGGUUGGUGUACUUUGGACCUUAAACACAGAGAGGUUGCUCGGUACAAGUCUGUUGUGCAGGUUGUUGGCACUGUGCAGGGACAUAAUAUAUCUGGAAAGGAUCAGCGUGUUCAUUGCUCCAUAAAUAUCAACACAGAGACUGGACGCUUGUCAGCAAGAAGACCAAGUUUGCAGGUUCUUCCAGCUUGAUUUUAUACUUUGAACUUUCAAAUAGAAGUAUCUAUUUUCUUUUGGAUGAGGAUGAGGGAUAUACAUAAAUUUAUACUUUGAACUUUCAACACAUACUAUUUUAAUUUUGGAUUUGGAUGAGGGAUAUGCAUAAAUUUAUACUUUGAACUUUCAAAUAGAAGUAUCUAUUUUCUUUUCAAAUGUAUAUUUGAUUAUCUCAAUAUUUUACAAUUAUUUGAGCUUACAGUUAGUUCUACUGCAUUAUAAAUUUAUGUGAUUAAUCAUUGGAUUUAAAAUGAAUUCAGAUUUAAUCUAACUUGUAUAAUUCAUACAUUAUAUUUUCAUGGAUGUAGACCUUUUUUGUUGACAUUAUAUAUGGUUAUAUGGUAUAAAUAGAAGGUCCAGUAAAAAACUAUUUAAUUUAU